CCUACGGGGGGCAGCAGUGAGGAAUAUUGGUCAAUGGACGAGAGUCUGAACCAGCCAAGUAGCGUGAAGGAUGACUGCCCUAUGGGUUGUAAACUUCUUUUAUAUGGGAAUAAAAUGUUCCACGUGUGGGAUUUUGUAUGUACCAUAUGAAUAAGGAUCGGCUAACUCCGUGCCAGCAGCCGCGGUAAUACGGAGGAUCCGAGCGUUAUCCGGAUUUAUUGGGUUUAAAGGGAGCGUAGGUGGAUUGUUAAGUCAGUUGUGAAAGUUUGCGGCUCAACCGUAAAAUUGCAGUUGAAACUGGCAGUCUUGAGUACAGGAGAGGUGGGCGGAAUUCGGGGUGUAGCGGUGAAAUGCGUAGAUAUCACGAAGAACUCCGAUUGCGAAGGCAGUUCACUGGACUGCAACUGACACUGAGGCUCGAAAGUGUGGGUAUCAAACAGGAUUAGAUACCCGAGUAGUC
rnacentral:rRNA from 1 species